UUUCAGUUUCUCCUACGGUGGUC
rnacentral:piRNA from 1 species